UACGUAGGGCGCGAGCGUUAUCCGGAGUUAUUGGGCGUAAAGAGCUCGUAGGCGGUUUGUCGCGUCUGCCGUGAAAGUCCGGGGCUCAACUCCGGAUCUGCGGUGGGUACGGGCAGACUAGAGUGAUGUAGGGGAGACUGGAAUUCCUGGUGUAGCGGUGAAAUGCGCAGAUAUCAGGAGGAACACCGAUGGCGAAGGCAGGUCUCUGGGCAUUAACUGACGCUGAGGAGCGAAAGCAUGGGGAGCGAACAGG
rnacentral:rRNA from 1 species